ACGUCAAGUCCUCAUGGCCCUUAUGGGCUGGGCUACACACGUGCUACAAUGGCGAUGACAGUGGGCAGCAACCUCGCGAGGGGAAGCUAAUCCCUAAAAAUCGUCUCAGUUCGGAUUGUUCUCUGCAACUCGAGAGCAUGAAGUCGGAAUCGCUAGUAAUCGCGUAUCAGCAUGACGCGGUGAAUACGUUCCCGGGCCUU
rnacentral:rRNA from 1 species